CACGCUCUCGGUUACGCUANNGCAUGCAGUCGAAGGUCCCCGGCUCCGGGGGCCUGGCAGACGGCUCAGUAACACGUGGCUAACCUGCCCUAGGGAGGAGGAUAACCCCGGGAAACUGGGGUUAAACCUCCAUAAGCGACAGGCUCUGGAAGGACCUGUCGCUGAAAGUGGUGUACGGGGAUGCUCCGUACACCAGCCCUAGGAUGGGGCUGCGGCCCAUCACGGUUGUUGGCGGGGUAACGGCCCGCCAAGCCUAUAACGGGUACGGGCCCUGAGAGGGGGAGCCCGGAGAUGGACUCUGAGACAAGAGUCCAGGCCCUACGGGGCGCAGCAGGCGCGAAAACUCCCCAAUGCCCGAAAGGGUGAGGGGGUUACCCCGAGUGCCACCCUCGUGGUGGCUUUUGCGGGGUCUAAAAAGCCCCGCGAAUAAGGGGGGGGCAGGACGGGUGUCAGCCGCCGCGGUAAUACCCGCCCCCCGAGUGGUGGGGACUAUACUGGGGCUUAAAGCGCCCGUAGCCGGCCGGGUGUGUCCUCCGUUAAAUCCACGGGCCUAACCCGUGGGCUGCGGAGGAUACUGCCCGGCUUGGGGGUGGGAGAGGGCGGCGGUAUUCCCGGGGUAGGGGUAAAAUCCUCUGAUCCCGGGAGGACCACCGGUGGCGAAGGCGGCCGCCCAGAACACGCCCGACGGUGAGGGGCGAAAGCUGGGGGAGCAAACGGGAUUAGAUACCCCGGUAGUCCCAGCUGUAAACGAUGCGGGCUAGGUGUCGGGUGGGCUACGGGCUCACCCGGUGCCGAAGGGAAACCAUUAAGCCCGCCGCCUGGGGAGUACGGCCGCAAGGCUGAAACUUAAAGGAAUUGGCGGGGGAGCACCACAAGGGGUGGACGUUGCGGCUUAAUUGGAGUCAACGCCGGAAACCUUACCGGGGGAGACGGCAGGAUGAUGGACAGGUUGAAGGCCUUUCCGGACGAGCCGAGAGGAGGUGCAUGGCCGUCGCCGGUGCGUGCCGUGAGGUGUCCUGUUAAUUCAGGCAACGGACGAGACCCGCGCCCCUAGUUGCUACCGAGCUGAAAAGCUCGGGCACUCUAGGGGGACUGCCCCCGAAAGGGGGAGGAAGGAGCGGGCUACGGCAGGUCAGUAUGCCCCGAAUCCCCCGGGCCGCACGCGACGUUCAAUGGCGGGGACAGAGGGUUGCCACCCCGAAAGGGGGAGCUAAUCCCUAAACCCCGCCGUGGUUGGUAUCGAGGGUUGCAACUCGCCCUCGUGAACGCGGAAUCCCUAGUAAACGCGCGUAAAAACGCGCGGAGUCUGGCCGAA
rnacentral:rRNA from 1 species